rnacentral:rRNA from 1 species
GGUGGUUCUAGCGAAGCGGCCCCACCCGUUCCCAUCCCGAACACGGAAGUGAAACGCCUCAGCGCCUACGAUACUGCUCUGGCGACGGAGUGGGAAAAUAGGUCAUCGCCG